rnacentral:tRNA from 1 species
UGCGAAUUCUGUGGAUCGAACACAGGACCUCCAGAUUUCAAGACUGAGAACUACUUCAGUCUGAGCGCUCUCCCAACUGAGCUAAAUCCGC